UACGGAGGGUGCGAGCGUUAAUCGGAAUAACUGGGCGUAAAGGGCAUGCAGGCGGGCUUUUAAGUCAGAUGUGAAAGCCCCGAGCUUAACUUGGGAAUUGCAUCUGAAACUGGUUGGCUAGAGUCUUGUAGAGGGGGGUAGAACUCCAUGUGUAGCGGUGAAAUGCGUAGAGAUGUGGAGGAAUACCGAAGGCGAAGGCAGCCCCUUGGGAAUGUACUGACGCUCAUGUGCGAAAGCGUGGGGAGCAAACAGG
rnacentral:rRNA from 1 species